GACGAACGCUGGCGGCGUGCUUAACACAUGCAAGUCGAGCGGUAAGGCCUUUUCGGGGGUACGACGAGCGGCGAACGGGUGAGUAACACGUGGGUGACCUGCCCUCAGCUCUGGGAUAAGCCGUGGGAAACUGGGUCUAAUACCGGAUAUGACUCCAUGACGCAUGUUGUGGGGUGGAAAGCCUUGUGCGGCUGAGGAUGGGCCCGCGGCCUAUCAGCUUGUUGGUGGGGU
rnacentral:rRNA from 1 species